UACGGGGGGGCAAGCGUUGUUCGGAAUUACUGGGCGUAAAGGGCUCGUAGGUGGCCAACUAAGUCAGACGUGAAAUCCCUCGGCUCAACCGGGGAACUGCGUGUGAUACUGGCGGGCUUGAAUUCGGGAGAGGGAUGUGGAAUUCCAGGUGUAGCGGUGAAAUGCGCAGAUAUCAGGAAGAACACCUAUGGCGAAGGCAGCUCUCUGGGACGGUACUGACGCUGAGACGCGAAAGCGUGGGGAGCGAACAGG
rnacentral:rRNA from 1 species